GCUGGGUGUGGUGGUGUGUGCCUGUAGUCCCAGCUACUCAGGAGGCUGAGGCAGAAGAACUGCUUGAACCCAGGAGGCUGAGGUUCCAGUGAACCAAGAUGGUGCCACUGCACUCCAGCCUGGGUGACAGAGCAAGACUCAGUCUCUU
rfam:Macaca mulatta chromosome 16, whole genome shotgun sequence.